rnacentral:rRNA from 1 species
AGAGUUUGAUCCUGGCUCAGGAUGAACGCUGGCGGCGUGCUUAACACAUGCAAGUCGAACGAUGAUCUCCAGCUUGCUGGGGGGAUUAGUGGCGAACGGGUGAGUAACACGUGAGUAACCUGCCCUUGACUCUGGGAUAAGCCUGGGAAACUGGGUCUAAUACUGGAUACGACCUUCCAUCGCAUGGUGGUUGGUGGAAAGCUUUUGUGGUUUUGGAUGGACUCGCGGCCUAUCAGCUUGUUGGUGGGGUAAUGGCCUACCAAGGCGACGACGGGUAGCCGGCCUGAGAGGGUGGACGGCCACACUGGGACUGAGACACGGCCCAGACUCCUACGGGAGGCAGCAGUGGGGAAUAUUGCACAAUGGGCGCAAGCCUGAUGCAGCGACGCCGCGUGAGGGAUGAAGGCCUUCGGGUUGUAAACCUCUUUCAGUAGGGAAGAAGCGAAAGUGACGGUACCUGCAGAAGAAGCGCCGGCUAACUACGUGCCAGCAGCCGCGGUAAUACGUAGGGCGCAAGCGUUAUCCGGAAUUAUUGGGCGUAAAGAGCUCGUAGGCGGUUUGUCGCGUCUGCCGUGAAAGUCCGGGGCUUAACUCCGGAUCUGCGGUGGGUACGGGCAGACUUGAGUGAUGUAGGGGAGACUGGAAUUCCUGGUGUAGCGGUGAAAUGCGCAGAUAUCAGGAGGAACACCGAUGGCGAAGGCAGGUCUCUGGGCAUUAACUGACGCUGAGGAGCGAAAGCAUGGGGAGCGAACAGGAUUAGAUACCCUGGUAGUCCAUGCCGUAAACGUUGGGCACUAGGU